CUUUUUCCGGCUGGAACCAUGGAGGGUGCAGAAGAGAAGAAGAAGAAGGUUCCUGCUGUGCCAGAAACCGUUAAGAAAAAGCGAAGGAAUUUCGCAGAGCUGAAGAUCAAGUGCCUGAGAAAGAAGUUUGCCCAAAAGAUGCUUCGAAAGGCAAGGAGGAAGCUUAUCUAUGAAAAAGCGAAGCACUAUCACAAGGAAUAUAGGCAGAUGUACAGAACUGAAAUUCGAAUGGCGAGGAUGGCAAGAAAAGCUUGCAACUUCUAUGUACCUGCUGAACCCAAAUUGGCAUUUGUCAUCAGGAUCAGAGGUAUCAAUGGCGUGAGCCCAAAGGUCCGAAAGGUAUUGCAGCUUCUUCGCCUUCGUCAAAUCUUCAAUGGAACCUUUGUGAAGCUCAACAAGGCUUCAAUUAAUAUGCUGAGGAUUGUAGAGCCAUAUAUUGCAUGGGGGUAGCCCAAUCUGAAGUCAGUAAAUGAGCUAAUCUACAAGCGUGGUUAUGGCAAAAUCAGUAAGAAGCAAAUUGCUUUGACAGAUAACGCUUUGAUUGCUCGAUCUCUUGGUAAAUAUGGCAUCAUCUGCAUGGAGGAUCUGAUUCAUGAGAUCUAUACUGUUGGAAAACGCUUCAAAGAGGCAAAUAACUUCCUGUGGCCCUUCAAAUUAUCUUCUCCAUGAGGUGGAAUGAAGAAAAAGACCACCCACUUUGUAGAAGGUGGAGAUGCUGGCAACAGGGAGGACCACAUCAACAGGCUUAUUAGAAGAAUGAACUAAGGUGUCUACUAUGAUUAUUUUUCGAGUCUCGUCAGCUUAAUAAACAGUACCUGCUCUCAAAAUGAAAUACAUUGUUGUAUUUGUGAUUUUUUUUUGUUAUUAGCCUGCCUCUGUCUUCCCUUAACUAUUGUGGUAAGUCUGGUGUGUGAUAAAAUUAAGCCAAAUCAACUGCCCGUUUUGUGCAAAAUCAGGAUCGAGUCUGAAAAACAUCUCUUAGGUUUUAAAAAGGCUUUUCUCUACAAAAGAUUUUGUUUUUAACCGUGCUGAGUGAUUCAAAAUGGGUUUAUUCUAAGCCUGUUUCACAAGCAUUUGUACAUAAUUUGUAGGUAUGGUAAUCCAACUUUGGUUUAUGGAAAAAAUUGAAUUCAGUUUCUAAAAUUUAUUUCUUGGGCCUUCGCUUGUUUAUAAACUACCAUAUAAAUGUGUUGUUUUUCUUUUGC